GGCGCGGAUCUUCCAGAGAUUAGAGUUUGAUCCUGGCUCAGAUUGAACGCUGGCGGCAGGCCUAACACAUGCAAGUCGAACGGUAACAGGAAGCAGCUUGCUGCUUCGCUGACGAGUGGCGGACGGGUGAGUAAUGUCUGGGAAACUGCCUGAUGGAGGGGGAUAGCUACUGGAAACGGUAGCUAAUACCGCAUAACGUCGCAAGACCAAAGAGGGGGACCUUAGGGCCUCUUGCCAUCGGAUGUGCCCAGAUGGGAUUAGCUAGUAGGUGGGGUAACGGCUCACCUAGGCGACGAUCCCUAGCUGGUCUGAGAGGAUGACCAGCCACACUGGAACUGAGACACGGUCCAGACUCCUACGGGAGGCAGCAGUGGGGAAUAUUGCACAAUGGGCGCAAGCCUGAUGCAGCCAUGCCGCGUGUAUGAAGAAGGCCUUCGGGUUGUAAAGUACUUUCAGCGGGGAGGAAGGGAGUAAAGUUAAUACCUUUGCUCAUUGACGUUACCCGCAGAAGAAGCACCGGCUAACUCCGUGCCAGCAGCCGCGGUAAUACGGAGGGUGCAAGCGUUAAUCGGAAUUACUGGGCGUAAAGCGCACGCAGGCGGUUUGUUAAGUCAGAUGUGAAAUCCC
rnacentral:rRNA from 1 species